rnacentral:tRNA from 1 species
UCGUUAGCUCAGUUGGUAGAGCAGUUGGCUUUUAACCAAUUGGUCGUAGGUUCGAAUCCUACACGACCCACCA